AUUGCCAAGGCUUCUAAAGAAGUCAAUAUUGCUGAAGUUGGAGCUGACAUUGAACUGUUAUCAAAGAACUGAAUCUCUUUAUCAUUGUUGAGUUGAUUGGGGAUCAUUACAUGAAUGUAACGGCGGAGGAAAAAUUGAUCAUGAUUUAGCCUAAUUUAUUUACAAAUAGUGAGCAACAGAAACUGCCGAUUUACUUUAGUUACCGUGUUAAAUUUACAAAAUGCACUGAGUCAUGGUUAUGUCUUGUUGAUAUUCUAAAUAAGCUUAAAGUGGACUUUUUUGUUCCAGACAUUUUCAGAAAAGGUACAUAGUUCCUUCGGAAAGAAAAAGAUGGGUUUAAUUUAUAUGAAUCCUACUCCGGCACCUGUGGAUGCUUUUCAGACAUUUGAUGGCAACUGACUUUGUUUGUGAGAGGCCUUUCGGUUGUGCACUUCUUUAUGAAAGAGGGGUUACGAGAGGCAAUUUGAAGAACAGAGAAGGAAGCAGUUCUUCAAUAAUUUUGAUGGAAUAUUUUCCGUUUUCUAGUUUUUGUGAAUAUUUUUGUUCGUGAUGUAAUGGAUGAAAUAUUUUUGUGAUGUAAUAGAUGAAUGUAGUAUUUUCUUGAUGUAAUGGAUGGAAUAUUUUCCGUUAUGUGAUGUAAU